UACAGAGGUCCCAAGCGUUGUUCGGAUUCAUUGGGCGUAAAGGGUGCGUAGGUGGCGCCGUAAGUCGGGUGUGAAAUUUCGGAGCUUAACUCCGAAACUGCAUUCGAUACUGCCGUGCUUGAGGACUGGAGAGGAGACUGGAAUUUACGGUGUAGCGGUGAAAUGCGUAGAUAUCGUAAGGAAGACCAGUGGCGAAGGCGGGUCUCUGGACAGUUCCUGACGCUGAUGCACGAAAGCGUGGGGAGCAAACAGG
rnacentral:rRNA from 1 species